rnacentral:lncRNA from 1 species
GGCGCCGCGAGCUCCGCGAGCUUUCUCGGGCGGUGGCGUCGGGCGCCGCGAGCUCCGCGAGCUUUCUCGGGCGGUGGCGUCGGGCGCCGCGAGCUCCGCGAGCUUUCUCCAGGCGGUGGCGUCGGGCGCCCCGCCUCGCUGCCGCCCGCCCUGCCCGCGGAGAGACCUCUUGGGGCCCCCUCCUGAGAGCGCCCCCGACGCGCCCGGAGCGCAGAGGCAGGCGUGGGGAACCCCUGGCCGCUUCUCCCCCGGACCCCGCAACUCUGCACACGGGGUGGAAGUUGAUCCUGCCGGUCUAGACUUUGCAGGGCAGCCCGGCCCGGAAAACACCCCGGCGCCGAGAUGGAGAAGGGCGAAGGUGGAUGAUUAGUGCCCCCAGAAGGGCAGGUGACCGUUCGGUUCAGUCCCUUCGUUGUCCGGACGAGACGCUGGAGACCGCGGGCUGGGAGGUCACCAGCCCCCAUAAGCACGCCAAGGGGGUCCCGGGAGCCUGGUGGGGCCACUGUUGUCACACGCUCUUCUCAGUUCUCUUCUUCCAGGCUGUAAGGUCGGGAUGGCCCCCCUCUCCUGGACGUGCAUACCCAGGCAUUAUUUUACACUACCGGAAGUGAGUGGUUGCCGGGUGAGAGGGUUGCGUAUCAGCUCUUCGUUCUCAACACGAACAAGCACCUGCUUGGCCCACCCAAGGGGUCUUGAAUUCCCCCGCUCCCCUCACCCCGCUGCCUUUCAGCGGGCGGACUUGGGUCUGUGCCGAGGAAUAAGCCGCUCCAUUAGCAACUGAAGAAGAACACGGAGAUUCUCGCCUUCCUUGUCCUCUCACUUGGAAGCAUUGGCAACAAUUUGCACAAAGUUGUUUUUGCUGAAAAUGUUGACCUUUGAUGUCAUGCGCAUCAAGAUUUUCUUUUUUAAAGUCCUGGGGGGAAAAAGUCAGAAAUAUUUUAAUAUGUUACUAUACUCAGGAUCACAGGCCCAUUACAGUUCUAAGAUGUUGCUCACCUAAAGAAGAAUUUUGAAAAACUGUAAGGAGCUAGAGGUGCCUGGCUGGCUCAGGGGGUAGAGCAUGCCCCUCUUGAUCUAGGUGUCCUGAGUUCCAACCCCACGUGGGUCACAGAGUUUACUUAAUAAUAACAGUAAUAAACCACUGGGCCACCGGGACUGCCCUNCUAAG